rnacentral:rRNA from 1 species
CAAGUGUGGUGUUAGCAGGCGCCGUAAUUCCAGCUCCAAUAGCGUAUAUUAAAGUUGUUGCAGUUAAAAAGCUCGUAGUUGAACCUUGGGCCUGGCUGGCCGGUCCGCCUCACCGCGUGUACUGGUCCGGCCGGGCCUUUCCUUCUGGGGAACCUCAUGCCCUUCACUGGGCGUGUUGGGGAACCAGGACUUUUACUUUGAAAAAAUUAGAGUGUUCAAAGCAGGCCUUUGCUCGAAUACAUUAGCAUGGAAUAAUAGAAUAGGACGUGUGGUUCUAUUUUGUUGGUUUCUAGGACCGCCGUAAUGAUUAAUAGGGAUAGUCGGGGGCAUCAGUAUUCAAUCGUCAGAGGUGAAAUUCUUGGAUUGAUUGAAGACUAACUACUGCGAAAGCAUUUGCCAAGGAUGUUUUCAUUAAUCAGUGAACGAAAGUUAGGGGAUCGAAGACGAUCAGAUACCGUCGUAGUCUUAACCAUGAACUAUGCCG